GUUUUGUGGCUGUCUUUGUAUGUUUUACGUCAAAGGCAGUACACUUCGAGCUUUGUUCAGAUCUGACAACUGCGACUUUUCUUGCAGCAUUUGCACGCUUUGUCGGACGACGCGGAUUUCCUUCAAAAAUAAUGAGCGACAAUGGGAAAAACUUUGUCGAAGCUCAAAGAGCAACAGAGAGGAGUUUAUAAACUUCACGAAAGAAGUCUCCCCUGAAAUAGUUAACAGAUAUGCACCCCAAGGGAUCGAUUGGCAGUUUAUACCUCCAUGCUCUCCACACAUGGGCGGACUUUGGGAAUCAGCAGUAAAAAGCUUUAAGUCCCAUUUAAAGAAAACGGCUGGUAAUCAUAAAUUCAAUUAUGAGGAAGCCGUGUUAAAUUCAAGACAUAUAUCACCCCUCUCGCAAGAUAACUCCGAUUUCACAUCUCUUACACCUGGACACUUCCUCAGAGGAGCUCCUCUUCUCGCCAUACCUGAGACUCACUUACUUUAAUAAAUCGAUGGGAAAGAAUCAAUAUUCUCCAUCACGAAUUCAGCCACAGAUGGAAGGAAGACUAUCUCAAAGAUCUCCAUAAGAGAUAUCGAUGGAAAACAGCCCAGAAGGAAGCCAAUGCAGGAAAAUGCGUCAUCAUACAGGACGAAUGCCUUCCUCCAACAGAAUGGCGACUAGGUCACAUUGAAAAGGUUCAUCGAGGAUCAGAUGGUCACAUAUGAGUAGUCGAUGUUUGAACACAAACCGGCAUAUUAGCUCGACCAGUCACUAAACUGUGUUUUCUUCCAAACAGCGAAGAACAACUUUAACCAAAACCCCAAAUCGAAAAAAUAAUAAAUCAAUUUCGCUAAUUCGAAAUUAACCCGCUUUACAAUCCGUAUAUAAAAAUAAACUCAAACAAGCGCUUUAAAGAUCAAGCAAUUAUACAUAUACAUAUGUAUAGAUAUGUAGUUACAACAACUACAUUCUAAAAUUAUAAAUAAAAUCAAUUUAAUGCAAUUUUAUAUUCCCAUAGAAAUGGACGUAGAGGAGACCCAAACCACUUCCAACACCGUAAGGUCCGAAGUCGCUAUAGAGCAGCCAUUGGAGCCACAGGGGCCUCCAUGUUGCAGCCUGUACCAUCGCCUACACGCCCUGAAAGGAUGUACAAUUUUUAAGAGCAUGAAGCCCGCUCAACGACAACAGGUUGCAAGGGCCCACGGGCAUUGCAUGACCUGCCUGGCAGAUGACCACGCCACCAUAGAGUGCUGGGCCGACGGUGCCUGUCAAUAUUGCCACAGGCCGCACCCCACUUUGUUUCAUCGAUUUCCCACACGAGCCAAUCGCACCAACUCCCGUACCAGAUUACGCAGCGAUCUUAUCCGGCGUCGACAACGCACCCAACCAACCACAACACGUACACGGCCAUCUCCGCCACGACGCGCUCAUCGACAUGAUCAGCCGACGAAAUCACUCGUUUAACUGUAGACACACUGGCUGUAACACCGCAAAUUUCUUUAAUUUUGGGUGCUGAAAGAUGUGAAUUGGACGCAGCUCGCACAAUAUGCCUCCUGACUGCGGCGUGGGACGUGUUUGACUCCGCCUUUCAUGUUCUUGCCAUAUUCUGAUUUGUUUCUCAAAAAGUUACUCACAAGAUUUUGGCUACAUUCAAUUUUUUGAGCCAUUUUGCGAUGGCUAAGACCACUUUCACGAUAUGCUUCGAUUUGGCCUCUUUUAUACUCGGAUAAUUGUUGUUCGCGUCCCAUUUUUCAUUUAAUUUAAAGAAAAUAUAUGAAAUAAAAAAUUUGUAUCAAAAAUGUGUCGCCACACUGCCAAGUUUAAUCGCAAACUAAAAAUCUUUCAGCUGUACCUAUUCAGUUGAACCAAACAAUUGCACAGAAAUUAGCGAAAUAAAUAGCAAAACAGAAUAUGCAAAGUAACGGUA